rnacentral:rRNA from 1 species
AUUGAACGCUGGCGGCAGGCCUAACACAUGCAAGUCGAGCGGCAGCGGAAAAGUAGCUUGCUACUUUUGCCGGCGAGCGGCGGACGGGUGAGUAAUGCCUGGGGAUCUGCCCAGUCGAGGGGGAUAACUACUGGAAACGGUAGCUAAUACCGCAUACGCCCUACGGGGGAAAGCAGGGGACCUUCGGGCCUUGCGCGAUUGGAUGAACCCAGGUGGGAUUAGCUAGUUGGUGAGGUAAUAGCUCACCAAGGCGACGAUCCCUAGCUGGUCCGAGAGGAUGAUCAGCCACACUGGAACUGCGACACGGUCCAGACUCCUACGGGAGGCAGCAGUGGGGAAUAUUGCACAAUGGGGGAAACCCUGAUGCAGCCAUGCCGCGUGUGUGAAGAAGGCCUUCGGGUUGUAAAGCACUUUCAGCGAGGAGGAAAGGUCAGUAGCUAAUAUCUGCUGGCUGUGACGUUACUCGCAGAAGAAGCACCGGCUAACUCCGUGCCAGCAGCCGCCGCCG